AGGCCUAACACAUGCAAGUCGAACGGUAACAGGAAGCAGCUUGCUGCUUCGCUGACGAGUGGCGGACGGGUGAGUAAUGUCUGGGAAACUGCCUGAUGGAGGGGGAUAACUACUGGAAACGGUGGCUAAUACCGCAUAACGUCGCAAGACCAAAGAGGGGGACCUUCGGGCCUCUUGCCAUCAGAUGUGCCCAGAUGGGAUUAGCUAGUUGGUGAGGUAACGGCUCACCAAGGCGACGAUCCCUAGCUGGUCUGAGAGGAUGACCAGCCACACUGGAACUGAGACACGGUCCAGACUCCUACGGGAGGCAGCAGUGGGGAAUAUUGCACAAUGGGCGCAAGCCUGAUGCAGCCAUGCCGCGUGUAUGAAGAAGGCCUUCGGGUUGUAAAGUACUUUCAGCGGGGAGGAAGGUGUUGUGGUUAAUAACCACAGCAAUUGACGUUACCCGCAGAAGAAGCACCGGCUAACUCCGUGCCAGCAGCCGCGGUAAUACGGAGGGUGCAAGCGUUAAUCGGAAUUACUGGGCGUAAAGCGCACGCAGGCGGUCUGUCAAGUCGGAUGUGAAAUCCCCGGGCUCAACCUGGGAACUGCAUUCGAAACUGGCAGGCUUGAGUCUUGUAGAGGGGGGUAGAAUUCCAGGUGUAGCGGUGAAAUGCGUAGAGAUCUGGAGGAAUACCGGUGGCGAAGGCGGCCCCCUGGACAAAGACUGACGCUCAGGUGCGAAAGCGUGGGGAGCAAACAGGAUUAGAUACCCUGGUAGUCCACGCCGUAAACGAUGUCUACUUGGAGGUUGUGCCCUUGAGGCGUGGCUUCCGGAGCUAACGCGUUAAGUAGACCGCCUGGGGAGUACGGCCGCAAGGUUAAAACUCAAAUGAAUUGACGGGGGCCCGCACAAGCGGUGGAGCAUGUGGUUUAAUUCGAUGCAACGCGAAGAACCUUACCUGGUCUUGACAUCCACAGAACUUUCCAGAGAUGGAUUGGUGCCUUCGGGAACUGUGAGACAGGUGCUGCAUGGCUGUCGUCAGCUCGUGUUGUGAAAUGUUGGGUUAAGUCCCGCAACGAGCGCAACCCUUAUCCUUUGUUGCCAGCGAUUAGGUCGGGAACUCAAAGGAGACUGCCAGUGAUAAACUGGAGGAAGGUGGGGAUGACGUCAAGUCAUCAUGGCCCUUACGACCAGGGCUACACACGUGCUACAAUGGCGCAUACAAAGAGAAGCGACCUCGCGAGAGCAAGCGGACCUCAUAAAGUGCGUCGUAGUCCGGAUUGGAGUCUGCAACUCGACUCCAUGAAGUCGGAAUCGCUAGUAAUCGUGGAUCAGAAUGCCACGGUGAAUACGUUCCCGGGCCUUGUACACACCGCCCGUCACACCAUGGGAGUGGGUUGCAAAAGAAGUAGGUAGCUUAACCUUCGGGAGGGCGCUUACCACUUUGUGAUUCAUGACUGGGGUGAAGUCGUAACAAGGUAACCGUAGGGGAACCUGCGGUUGGAUCACCUCCUUACCUUAAAGAA
rnacentral:rRNA from 1 species